rnacentral:rRNA from 1 species
GACGAACGCUGGUGGCGUGCCUAAUACAUGCAAGUCGAACGCUGCUUAAGAAGAAACUUCGGUUUUUUCUUAAGCGGAGUGGCGGACGGGUGAGUAACACGUGGGGAACCUAUCCAUCAGCGGGGGAUAACACUUGGAAACAGGUGCUAAUACCGCAUACGGCUUUUUUUCACCUGAAAGAAAGCUCAAAGGCGCUUUACAGCGUCACUGAUGGCUGGCCCCGCGGUGCAUUAGCCAGUUGGUGAGGUAACGGCUCACCAAAGCAACGAUGCAUAGCCGACCUGAGAGGGUGAUCGGCCACACUGGGACUGAGACACGGCCCAGACUCCUACGGGAGGCAGCAGUAGGGAAUCUUCGGCAAUGGACGCAAGUCUGACCGAGCAACGCCGCGUGAGUGAAGAAGGUUUUCGGAUCGUAAAGCUCUGUUGUCAGCAAAGAACAGGAGAAAGAGGCAAUGCUUUUUCUAUGACGGUAGCUGACCAGAAAGCCGCGGCUAACUACGUGCCAGCAGCCGCGGUAAUACGUAGGUGGCAAGCGUUGUCCGGAUUUAUUGGGCGUAAAGCGAGCGCAGGCGGUGAUUUAAGUCUGAUGUGAAAGCCCCCAGCUCAACUGGGGAGGGUCAUUGGAAACUGGAUCACUUGAGUGCAGAAGAGGAGAGUGGAAUUCCAUGUGUAGCGGUGAAAUGCGUAGAUAUAUGGAGGAACACCAGUGGCGAAGGCGGCUCUCUGGUCUGUAACUGACGCUGAGACUCGAAAGCGUGGGUAGCAAACAGGAUUAGAUACCCUGGUAGUCCACGCCGUAAACGAUGAGUGCUAAGUGUUGGAGGGCUUCCGCCCUUCAGUGCUGCAGUUAACGCAUUAAGCACUCCGCCUGGGGAGUACGACCGCAAGGUUGAAACUCAAAGGAAUUGACGGGGGCCCGCACAAG